GGAUAAGAACGAAUGGAGAAUUAGAGAAGUGGAAAGAGGAUAAGAACGAAUGGAGAAUUAGAGAAGUGGAAAGAGGAUAAGAACGAAUGGAGAAUUAGAAAAGUGGAAAGAGGAUAAGAACGAAUGGAGAAUUAGAGAAGUGGAAAGAGGAUAAGAACGAAUGGAGAAUUAGAGAAGUGGAAAGAGGAUAAGAACGAAUGGAGAAUUAGAGAAGUGGAAAAAGAAUCAGAAGGAGACGGGAAAGAAGUGACUGGAAAGGAAGGAGGGUGGAAAUAAGGAAGCGGGAAUGAAGGAAAAAAUAUAUGGGAAAAAGACGGAAGACGGGGAAAUUAGAGGAAGUAAAAGGGAAACAAUUAUCCAGGCAUUGAACCCCCUGACACUGUCCUCCGGAAGUGUUGGCUGACCGCAGACACACACACACACACACACACACACACACACACACAUGGACGCGGACACGGUAGCAACAAUAUAACCUCUGUAAUGAAUCCUGUAUCCUUGCUUCGUGUGUGUGUGUGUGUGUGUGUGUGUGUUUAGGCAAAGUGUAGUAAGUAGGAAAGCGAUAAAGGGAGGGAAGGAAAUGGUUGAAUGGUAAGGUUAAGUAAAAGGAAUGAAGGAAGGAAAGGAAAGAGAGGAAAGAAGGAAGGGAGGAAAGGAAAGAGAGGAAGGAAGGAAGGGAGGAAAAGGAAGAGAGGAAGGAAGGAAGGGAAGAAAAGAAGGAAGGGAGGAAAGGAAAGAGAGGAAGGAAGGAAGGAAAGGAAAGAGAGGAAGGAAGGAAGGGAGGAAAUGAAUAUAUGAAAGAAAAGAAAGAAAGAGUGCGAUAUAUUAGAGAAAGGAAGUGACGUUAUCAUGAAAAUUACAUUAUGAUUACAUUACUUCAAAGGCUUCACACACACACACACACACACACACACACACACACACACACACACACACACACACACACACACACAAACACACACACAGUGGCUUGAUAAUAAGGAACCUACUAGUCUGGAAGUAAAAAAAAAAAAAAAAAAAAAAAA